AAACUAGGAUUAGAUACCCUCAUAAAAUCCCUUACCUUGCUAAGUAAAUACAGAUUAUCGAAAGCAAAAAAUUAUGGCGGUAUUUUAAGCUUUUCAGAGGAAUUUGCUCUUUAAUGGAUAAAACACCUAAAUCUUACUUAAAUUUGUUAAUUCAAUUUGUAUACCACUAUAAAAACAAUUUAUAACUUUAAUUGUUGAUAUUUAUUAAAUUAAAAUAUAUUAAGUCAAGGUGCAGUAAAAAUUUAAGGAUGAAGUGAAUUACAUUACUUUUUAGAGAAAUAAAUUUAAAAUAAUAUUUAGGAUUUGAAAGUAAAAUUAAAAUAUAAUGUUAAUUUGAAUUAAGCUCUAAAAUAUGUACACAUCGCCCGUCGCUCUCAUU
rnacentral:rRNA from 1 species